UAUUGACAGGAAAAGGGUGGUGGCUGAUUCGACAAAGAAACUCAGCUACGAAGUAGGAUAUAAAGAGGAGUCAGAGAGAGAUCGGGGUUAUUCCUCGGCAGACCUCAGAGGCAUCGGACUCGGAGCAAGACCAUCACCGCACCGGACCAAGAUCCCAAGACAAGAGACGGGGAUUUGAGCAGGAAAGAACUAGAGAACACUUCAGAGAUUCUUCAGGGGACUCCAAGAGAUCGAGCCACAGAGGGUAACCACAACAUCCAAACCAACUGAAGAAUCAUUGGACUCUGAAGAUUUUCUCUCACUCAACUGCAACGAAGACUGAAGACUUUUGAAGACAAUUUGAGGGCUUUGGACAAAGCCUCAGGUUUCCACCAGGGUCAUCAGCCCAGCAGAAGAGGGAAAUAACUCCUUGGCCAGGACACCUCCUUCCCCUUCCUUUCUCUCCAAAAAGAGCUCAGCUAUCACAAUCAGGAGAACCAGUGGUUCUGGAUUGAUGGUACACCUUUUAACUACUUGAACUGGUGUGGUGGAGAGCCUAAUAAUCUGGGCGGCAGGCAGAACUGUUUGAAAAUUAAUCAUGGAGAUCAAAAGUGCUGGGAUGACUGUUAGUGCGAGUUUCGAAGACCGUCUGUCUGAUGAUUCCUGUGCUGUAACAGAGUCAUGAAGGCUUCCGUCUUUCUACCAACAGUUUCACAUUUGAGCUGAACUCUCUAUAUCUUAUUUCAUAUCUCCAUUGCUGUGACUCCACUUAAAGAACAAAGUGACAAGUGACAUAACUGGAGCUGGAUUGUCUCUUAGGCCUUGUGCCUUUAAGCAGAGCAGACUGAAUGUGUUAUGAACUUUCUUUUAGAACAUUCUUCCAUACAAUAUAAUCUGUAAAAUGAUACUUUUUACAAGAAUAAAAGGCUCAAGCACUGGAA